rnacentral:rRNA from 1 species
UACGAGUGCCUCAAGCGUUAUCCGGAAUCAUUGGGCGUAAAGGAUGUGUAGGUUGUCAUAUUAGUCUUCUGUUAAAGCUCCCGGCUUAACCGGGAACCUGCAGAAGAAACGGUAUGACUAGACGAUGCAAGGGGUCUGCGGAACUCAUAGUGUAGCGGUGAAAUGCGUUGAUAUUAUGGGGAACACCAAAAGCGAAGGCAGCAGACUGGGGCACUCGUGACACUGAAACAUGAAAGCGUGGGUAGCGAAUGGG